rnacentral:rRNA from 1 species
GACGAACGCUGGCGGCGCGCCUAACACAUGCAAGUCGAACGGAGCAUUGAGAGCUUGCUUUUAAUGCUUAGUGGCGAACGGGUGAGUAACGCGUGAGUAACCUGCCCUGGAGUGGGGGACAACAGUUGGAAACGACUGCUAAUACCGCAUAAGCCCACGGCCCGGCAUCGGGCUGAGGGAAAAGGAUUUAUUCGCUUCAGGAUGGACUCGCGUCCAAUUAGCUAGUUGGUGAGGUAACGGCCCACCAAGGCGACGAUUGGUAGCCGGACUGAGAGGUUGAACGGCCACAUUGGGACUGAGACACGGCCCAGACUCCUACGGGAGGCAGCAGUGGGGGAUAUUGCACAAUGGGGGAAACCCUGAUGCAGCGACGCCGCGUGGAGGGAGAAGGUUUUCGGAUUGUAAACUCCUGUCGUUAGGGACGAUAAUGACGGUAC